UACGUAGGGGGCGAGCGUUGUCCGGAUUUACUGGGCGUAAAGAGCGCGUAGGCGGUCUGAAGAGUCGGCUGUGAAAUCUCUGGGCCCAACCCAGAGGGGUCGGCCGAGACCUUUGGACUCGAGGGUGGUAGAGGAAGGUGGAAUUCCGGGUGUAGUGGUGAAAUGCGUAGAGAUCCGGAGGAACACCAGUGGCGAAGGCGGCCUUCUGGGCCAUACCUGACGCUGAGGCGCGAAAGCGUGGGGAGCGAACCGAAUUAGAUACUCGGGUAGUCCACGCCCUAAACGAUGGACGCUAGGUGUCGGGGGUAUCGACCCCUCCGGUGCCCGAGCGAACGCAGUAAGCGUCCCGCCUGGGGAGUACGGCCGCAAGGCUAAA
rnacentral:rRNA from 1 species